rnacentral:lncRNA from 1 species
UUCAGAAAGUUUUGAAAUCACUUCAUAAAACGUUGUCAGAAUGUAAAAUGAGGGGAAAUGAAACUAUUUCGAUUGCAAGAACUAAAUUAAUUACUUGCUAUAAGCAACUAACCAUUACAGAAGCAAGGUCACCUAUUAUAAUUUACAGUCAUUUGCUGUUGAUCUAUAUAAAGACCUUGCAAAAUCACUACAUCUCAACCAUGAAUGUGAAGUAUAAGAAUGCUGGACCAAUCCAUACAUAAGAAACUCUGCAACAUAGAAUUCUGCCACCAUAAUUUUUCAACUN